GCUGAUGUAGCUCAACGGUAGAGCGCAGGAAUUGGUGUAGAAAUACGCUGAUUUAAAAAAGCUCCUGAGAAGGCGGUUCGAUUCCGUCCAUCAGCA
rnacentral:tRNA from 1 species